GGGCCUGUAGCUCAGUACGGUAGAGCGGUGGACGCCGUCUGGCGGCCGAAGCUCUUAACCCAUUGGUCAAGGGUUCAAAUCCCUUCAGGCCCGCCA
rnacentral:tRNA from 1 species